AGAGUUGAUUCUGGCGUCAGGAUGAACGCUAGCGACAGGCCUAACACAUGCAAGUCGAGGGCAGCACAAGGAGCAAUCUGAGGUGGCGACCGGCGCACGGGUGAGUAACACGUAUGCAACCUGCCUGUAAGCGGGGAAUAACCCGUUGAAAGACGGACUAAUACCGCAUAAUACUAAAUUACUGCAUGGUAAUUUAUUUAAACAUUUAUGGCUUACAGAUGGGCAUGCGCAUGAUUAGCUAGUUGGAGAGGUAACGGCUCCCCAAGGCAACGAUCAUUAGGGGUUCUGAGAGGAAGGUCCCCCACACUGGUACUGAGACACGGACCAGACUCCUACGGGAGGCAGCAGUGAGGAAUAUUGGUCAAUGGACGAGAGUCUGAACCAGCCAAGUCGCCGUGCAGGAAGAAUGUCCUAUGGAUUGUAAACUUCUUUUGAAGGGGAAUAAAGUACGGUACGUGUACCGUUUUGUAUGUACCCUUCGAAUAAGGAUCGGCUAACUCCGUGCCAGCAGCUGC
rnacentral:rRNA from 1 species